GACGAACGCUGGCGGCGUGCUUAACACAUGCAAGUCGAACGGAAAGGCCCUGCUUUUGUGGGGUGCUCGAGUGGCGAACGGGUGUGUAACACGGGAGUAACCUGCCCUUGACUUUGGUAUAACUUCAGGAAACUGGGGCUAAUACCGGAUAGGAGCUCCUGCGGCAUGGUGGGGGUUGGAAAGUUUCGGCGGUUGGGGAUGGACUCGCGGCUUAUCAGCGUGGUGGUGGGGUAGUGGCUUACCAAGGCUUUGACGGGUAGCCGGCCUGAGAGGGUGACCGGCCACAUUGGGACUGAGAUACGGCCCAGACUCCUACGGGAGGCAGCAGUGGGGAAUAUUGCACAAUGGGCGGAAGCCUGAUGCAGCAACGCCGCGUGCGGGAUGACGGCCUUCGGGUUGUAAACCGCUUUCGCCUGUGACGAAGCGUGAGUGACGGUAAUGGGUAAAGAAGCACCGGCUAACUACGUG
rnacentral:rRNA from 1 species